ensembl:snRNA U6 U6 spliceosomal RNA
GUGCUUGCUCCAGCAGCACAUAUACUAAAGUUGGAAAGAUACAAAGACAAUCAGCAUGAACCCUAUGCAAGGAUGACAAACAAAUUCAUGAUGCAUUCCAUACUCUG